rnacentral:rRNA from 1 species
AUGGACGCUGGCGGCGUGCCUAAUACAUGCAAGUCGCGCGAACAGACGAGGAGCUUGCUCCUCUGACGUUAGCGGCGGACGGGUGAGUAACACGUGGAUAACCUACCUAUAAGACUGGGAUAACUUCGGGAAACCGGAGCUAAUACCGGAUAAUAUAUUGAACCGCAUGGUUCAAUAGUGAAAGACGGUUUUGCUGUCACUUAUAGAUGGAUCCGCGCCGCAUUAGCUAGUUGGUAAGGUAACGGCCUACCAAGGCAACGAUGCGUAGCCGACCUGAGAGGGUGAUCGGCCACACUGGAACUGAGACACGGUCCAGACUCCUACGGGAGGCAGCAGUAGGGAAUCUUCCGCAAUGGGCGAAAGCCUGACGGAGCAACGCCGCGUGAGUGAUGAAGGUCUUCGGAUCGUAAAACUCUGUUAUUAGGGAAGAACAAAUGUGUAAGUAACUAUGCACGUCUUGACGGUACCUAAUCAGAAAGCCACGGCUAACUACGUG